UGGUGGAGCGAUUUGUCUGGUCAAUUUCGAUAACGAACGAGACUCUAGCCUACUAAAUAGUUCGGGGACCCCCACAAAGGGGCCCCGCUUCAACUUCUUAGAGGGACAGGUGGCGUUUAGCCACACGAGAUUGAGCAAUAACA
rnacentral:rRNA from 1 species